AGAGCCCCGUGGCCAGCGGCCGGCCGCGGGGCCUUUUUGUCCUGAGGGCCAGAGAAAGGGAGAAGGGGGUGGGGGGACAGCCACGUGGCCGCAGGAGGAUUUACAACAUUUUCUUUCGCCAUCGAUGUUAUCGCAAAAUGUGUGAGAGAAGCGGCUGCGCAGCCCGGACGGGAGCGUGAGGGUGCGGGCCAGGUAAGCAGCCCCGGCGGUUUCGCCGCAUACGGGACUGCGGGGCGACCGCGGGCACCAGCCACGCGCAGCGGCUCCGCGGGGUCUCGGCCGGGUCCGCGCUCUGAAGGAUCUCGAGAGCCAUGGAUGGUGCAGGCGGGACCCUCGAGCUGCAGCAUCUCCGGUGACCCGGGGUUGCCGAGGAGGUGGAGACCAGCACAGGUGGUCCGGCCCGGGCGCCUCCGAAUCCGGGGGUGGUCAAGACGGAUCCCCAAGGCUGAGGUCGGCAGUCCCGGGGACUCGCAGCUGUUGAGCCUGUGGAGACGCGGCCCCGUGACCGAGGCACCCUUCAGCAACCCGGGGGCAGCGUUUUCCCCCUACCGGAAAUCUGAUGGGCUUAUGACAUCAUGGCUGGCUGCUGAGCGAUGAAGUGGAUGCCACAAAGAAAUCCGACAUAUCAGAUAGAUUCUGAAAUCGGUUUCCCUCCAGCUGUAGUAACAGGCGUGAAGUCAGGAGAAUUUGAGCUUUGUUUAAAAAAUAAAUAAAUAAAUAAAUAAACCAUAACAAAGUCUUGCCCUGUAUUAAAUGCAAUUUUCUUAAAAACAAGCAAACCUUUUGGACAUCAUUUUAUUUUAAUAGAAAUGCUGAGUUUUAUGAAACUAAAGUGGCUAAUAAAUCAGACCUGAAGCUUUGUGUGAGUGUUCCAUUUCUGUUGAGUGUUUGUGUCCUUAUUCACUAAUAAAAGAGGAGCUAGGAAUGGUUUAUCUCUCUUCAUUAUUCAAAUGAGAUAGCCUUUUUUUUUUUUUUAGGCCAAUAAAAUUCACAGGGUAAAUUGCUGGUUUAUGUUUUUCCAGGAAUCCAUUUUUAUGGAGCGACCCUGGACCUCACCGGUCUGCAGACACUAUAUUCCCCUUUGCUGGUUUUCCUGGCUGUGAAGCCCUUAAGAGAAUGCAGUAAAGCUUUUCAGUCUCCUGGCUGGGCUCAGGGGAUAACUGGCUGUCAGCAGGGCGGGACCAAGACCAGUGGGCCAGGCGCUUCUUGGAAUGAGAAGCCUCUUUGAAAGGAGAGAGUCAAGAGAGGAACAGAAGUAAAGGGACCUGGGGCUGGGCGCGGUGGCUCAUGCCUAUAGUCCCAGCAAUUUGGGAGGCCAAGAGGGCAGAUCACCUGAGGUCAGGAGUUCAAGACCAGCCUGGCCAACAUGGCGAAACCCCAUCUCUACUAAAAAUACAAAAAAUUAGCCAGGAGUGGUGGUGCACGCCUGUAACCCCAGCUACUUGGGAGGCUGAGAUAGGAGAACUGCUUGAACACGGGAGGCAGAGGUUCCAGUGAGCCGAGAUCGCGCCACUGCACUCCAGCCUGGGUGACAGAGCAAGACUCCAUCUCAAAAAAAAAAAAAAAAAGAAGAAGAAGAAGAAGAAAAAGUAAAGGGACCUGGGACAUGAAGCCUAGGGGCCUGGGAGGGGGAAUCCAUUUUCUUCCUCCUCAAAAGACAGCAAGGACCUCAGAAAUAACUCCAGGCUGAGGGGGCCUCAGUAUUCACCUCGGAAAUAGGCUUGGGUGCAAGAUUGCAUGUGUCGUGCCUGCCAAGCACCCAGCACAGGGACGUCCCAGACCUGGGCUGAGGUCCCAGCUGCUCCAGAAGCAAACUUCGGGGCCCUGAGCAAGUCACACCACCUUUCAGCUUCUUUCCCUGAAAGUGGACACAAUGGCCCCCACCCUGCCUGUUGGGAGAACAGUAGUGCUGGAUGUGUCACACAAUGCCCAGCUCUGAGGGCAUCCGAGGCUCUGAGGGCACCUCAAAGGGCUCCGAGGCCAUUCUCAUAGCUGGGAGAGGCCAGUGUGGAUUCUGGAGUUGAAUCCCCAGCCUGGGCUUGACUCCUGGCUCUGUCCCCUGCUAUCUGCAAGACGACAUUGAUCUGUGUGACAUUCGCUGUGCCUUGGUGUCCUCACUUGUCAAACAAUAAUAAUAAUAGGACCGGCCUCACACAUGAGGCUGCUGUGAGGAUGAACGGCCUCAGAAGGCCUGGACUGACCAAGCAUUAGCCGCAUGAGUGUGUCCUGGGCCCAGGAGGCAGGUUGCUGGCUAGGACCCUCCGGCCUAGGAUGGGAGGGAGUGUACCAAGUCGAGCACAGGCGGAGGCUAAUCAAGGACUGACAGGAACAUCUACUCCUUUCUCUGCAGAACUUCCCAUGACUCCAAUCGCCCAAAGGGAAUAAAAUCCCCUCGUUUUCUGGGCCCCAGGCUCCUGUCCCCCAGGCCUCCUGUGCUGUUCCCCUCUCCCUCCCUGUGCUCUGUCCCUCCUCCCAGGCAGCUUUGGAUGCAAUGCUAACAGGCAGGUGAUGUUUACUGAGCACCUGCCAUCAUGUUGUUCGCCACAGUUUCCAUGGAUUAAUUCAUUUGAUCCCCACACAAACCCAUGAAAGGGGACAGUUAGCAUUCCUGUCAGCAAUGGAGACCUCAGAGGUUAAGUGUCUUGCUCACAGUCCCAGAGCCCAAAUUGAAACCAGGGUUCGGCUCCUGCACCGUCCACUUCACCUCGGCUCCACUGGGCCUUCCUCCUCCACUUUCUCGCCUUCCCACAACACCCAUCUCCACCUGCCAAGAUUUCCACCACCUCGCCCAAGAGGUCUUCCCAGCUUCCCCUCCACAGUGCCACCCAAGAAAUGCUGGUGGUGCCCCACGUGCCCCUCAGGGUGUGGCUCUCUAUGAUUGGCCCUGGGCCCCUUGUCUGCCUCUCCUGGAGGCUGGGAGCUGGGCUGUGGCCAGUAAUGUGUCCCCUGCAG
rnacentral:lncRNA from 1 species